rnacentral:ncRNA from 1 species
UAUUUUCAGGGCGAGGUGUAAUUCCUCACCGGUGGUUAUAGUCCACGACCCACCUUGGUGGUUGAAUCGGUGUAAUUCCGAUACCGACGGUUAUAGUCCGGAUGAGAGAAAAUG